ACGGGAGGCAGCAGUGGGGAAUAUUGCACAAUGGGCGCAAGCCUGAUGCAGCGAUGCCGCGUGAGGGAAGAAGGUUUUCGGAUUGUAAACCUCUGUCAACAGGGACGAAAAUGACGGUACCUGUGAAGGAAGCUCCGGCUAACUACGUGCCAGCAGCCGCGGUAAUACGUAGGUGGCAAGCGUUAUCCGGAAUUACUGGGUGUAAAGGGAGCGCAGGCGGGAGAGCAAGUCAGCGGUGAAAUGUAUGGGCUUAACCCAUGAACUGCCGUUGAAACUGUUUUUCUUGAGUGGAGUAGAGGCAAGCGGAAUUCCGAGUGUAGCGGUGAAAUGCGUAGAUAUUCGGAGGAACACCAGUGGCGAAGGCGGCUUGCUGGGCUCUAACUGACGCUGAGGCUCGAAAGUGUGGGGAGCAAACAGGAUUAGAUACCCUGGUA
rnacentral:rRNA from 1 species